AGAUUAAGUUAUUAAGGGCGCACGGUGGAUGCCUUGGCACUAGAAGCCGAAGAAGGACGUUACUAACGACGAUAUGCUUUGGGUAGCUGUAAGUAAGCGUUGAUCCAGAGAUUUCCGAAUGGGGGAACCCAACAUGAGUUAUGUCAUGUUAUCGACAUGUGAAUUCAUAGCAUGUCAGAAGGCAGACCCGGAGAACUGAAACAUCUUAGUACCCGGAGGAAGAGAAAGAAAAAUCGAUUCCCUGAGUAGCGGCGAGCGAAACGGGAAGAGCCCAAACCAACAAGCUUGCUUGUUGGGGUUGUAGGACACUCUAUACGGAGUUACAAAAGAACAUGUUAGACGAAUCAUCUGGAAAGAUGAAUCAAAGAAGGUAAUAAUCCUGUAGUCGAAAACAUAUUCUCUCUUGAGUGGAUCCUGAGUACGACGGAGCACGUGAAAUUCCGUCGGAAUCUAGGAGGACCAUCUCCUAAGGCUAAAUACUCUCUAGUGACCGAUAGUGAACCAGUACCGUGAGGGAAAGGUGAAAAGUACCCCGGAAGGGGAGUGAAAGAGAACUUGAAACCGUGUGCUUACAAGUAGUCAGAGCCCGUUUAUGGGUGAUGGCGUGCCUUUUGUAGAAUGAACCGGCGAGUUACGAUCUGAUGCAAGGUUAAGCAGUGAAUGUGGAGCCGUAGCGAAAGCGAGUCUGAAUAGGGCGUUGAGUAUUUGGUCGUAGACCCGAAACCAGGUGAUCUACCCUUGGUCAGGUUGAAGUUCAGGUAACACUGAAUGGAGGACCGAACCGACUUACGUUGAAAAGUGAGCGGAUGAACUGAGGGUAGCGGAGAAAUUCCAAUCGAACUUGGAGAUAGCUGGUUCUCUCCGAAAUAGCUUUAGGGCUAGCCUCAAGUGAUGAUUAUUGGAGGUAGAGCACUGUUUGGACGAGGGGCCCCUCUCGGGUUACCGAAUUCAGACAAACUCCGAAUGCCAAUCAAUUUAACUUGGGAGUCAGAACAUGGGUGAUAAGGUCCGUGUUCGAAAGGGAAACAGCCCAGACCACCAGCUAAGGUCCCAAAAUAUAUGUUAAGUGGAAAAGGAUGUGGCGUUGCCCAGACAACUAGGAUGUUGGCUUAGAAGCAGCCAUCAUUUAAAGAGUGCGUAAUAGCUCACUAGUCGAGUGACACUGCGCCGAAAAUGUACCGGGGCUAAACAUAUUACCGAAGCUGUGGAUUGUCCUUCGGACAAUGGUAGGAGAGCGUUCUAAGGGCGUUGAAGCAUGAUCGCAAGGACAUGUGGAGCGCUUAGAAGUGAGAAUGCCGGUGUGAGUAGCGAAAGACGGGUGAGAAUCCCGUCCACCGAUUGACUAAGGUUUCCAGAGGAAGGCUCGUCCGCUCUGGGUUAGUCGGGUCCUAAGCUGAGGCCGACAGGCGUAGGCGAUGGAUAACAGGUUGAUAUUCCUGUACCACCUAGUAUCGUUUUAAUCGAUGGGGGACGCAGUAGGAUAGGCGAAGCGUGCUGUUGGAGUGCACGUCCAAGCAGUAAGGCUGAGUGUUAGGCAAAUCCGGCACUCGUUAGGCUGAGCUGUGAUGGGGAGAGGAAAUUGUUUCCUCGAGUCGUUGAUUUCACACUGCCGAGAAAAGCCUCUAGAUAGAUAACAGGUGCCCGUACCGCAAACCGACACAGGUAGUCAAGAUGAGAAUUCUAAGGUGAGCGAGCGAACUCUCGUUAAGGAACUCGGCAAAAUGACCCCGUAACUUCGGGAGAAGGGGUGCUCUUUAGGGUUCACGCCCAGAAGAGCCGCAGUGAAUAGGCCCAAGCGACUGUUUAUCAAAAACACAGGUCUCUGCUAAACCGUAAGGUGAUGUAUAGGGGCUGACGCCUGCCCGGUGCUGGAAGGUUAAGAGGAGUGGUUAGCUUCUGCGAAGCCACGAAUCGAAGCCCCAGUAAACGGCGGCCGUAACUAUAACGGUCCUAAGGUAGCGAAAUUCCUUGUCGGGUAAGUUCCGACCCGCACGAAAGGCGUAACGAUUUGGGCACUGUCUCAACGAGAGACUCGGUGAAAUCAUAGUACCUGUGAAGAUGCAGGUUACCCGCGACAGGACGGAAAGACCCCGUGGAGCUUUACUGUAGCCUGAUAUUGAAAUUCGGCACAGCUUGUACAGGAUAGGUAGGAGCCAUUGAAACGUGAGCGCUAGCUUACGUGGAGGCGUUGGUGGGAUACUACCCUAGCUGUGUUGGCUUUCUAACCCGCACCACUUAUCGUGGUGGGAGACAGUGUCAGGCGGGCAGUUUGACUGGGGCGGUCGCCUCCUAAAAGGUAACGGAGGCGCUCAAAGGUUCCCUCAGAAUGGUUGGAAAUCAUUCACAGAGUGUAAAGGCAUAAGGGAGCUUGACUGCGAGACCUACAAGUCGAGCAGGGUCGAAAGACGGACUUAGUGAUCCGGUGGUUCCGCAUGGAAGGGCCAUCGCUCAACGGAUAAAAGCUACCCCGGGGAUAACAGGCUUAUCUCCCCCAAGAGUUCACAUCGACGGGGAGGUUUGGCACCUCGAUGUCGGCUCAUCGCAUCCUGGGGCUGUAGUCGGUCCCAAGGGUUGGGCUGUUCGCCCAUUAAAGCGGUACGCGAGCUGGGUUCAGAACGUCGUGAGACAGUUCGGUCCCUAUCCGUCGUGGGCGUAGGAAAUUUGAGAGGAGCUGUCCUUAGUACGAGAGGACCGGGAUGGACAUACCUCUGGUGUACCAGUUGUCGUGCCAACGGCAUAGCUGGGUAGCUAUGUAUGGACGGGAUAAGUGCUGAAAGCAUCUAAGCAUGAAGCCCCCCUCAAGAUGAGAUUUCCCAACUUCGGUUAUAAGAUCCCUCGAAGAUGACGAGGUUAAUAGGUUCGAGGUGGAAGCGUGGUGACACGUGGAGCUGACGAAUACUAAUCGAUCGAAGACUUAAUCAAU
rnacentral:rRNA from 1 species